UUGAGCCGUAUGAUGCGAAAGUGUCAAGUACGGUUCUUAGGGGGGAAGGAUAUGGCGACAUAUGCCUUCCUACCCGAC
rfam:Scytonema millei VB511283 scaffold_341, whole genome shotgun sequence.